GACGAACGCUGGCGGCGUGCUUAACACAUGCAAGUCGAACAGUGGCGAACGGGUGGGUAACACGUGAGUAACCUGCCCUCCCCUUUGGGAUAACUCCGAGCAGUCGGGGCUACUACUGGAUCGUGGGGGAUGGGCUCGCGGCCUAUCCGUUUGUUGGUGAGGUAGUGGUCACCAAGGCGUGACGGGUAGCCGGCCUGCGAGGGCGACCGGCCACACGGGGACUGAGACAGGGACCAGACUGCUACGGGAGGCAGUAGGGGGGAAUAUUGCACAGUGGGCGAAAGUCUGAUGCAGCGGCGCCGGGUGGGGGAUGACGGCCUUCGGGUUGUAAACCUCUUUCAGCAAGGAAGCGGUACUUGCAGAAGAAGCGCCGGCUAACUACGUGCCAGCAGCCGCGGUAAUUC
rnacentral:rRNA from 1 species